GCGGACAUAGCUCAGUUGGGAGAGCGUCAGACUGAAGUAUGGGCAUCGUGACCCAUUGAUAACUUCAAUCCAUUUAUCUGAAGGUCGUGUGUUCAAUCCACACUGGCCGCA
rnacentral:tRNA from 1 species